rnacentral:rRNA from 1 species
UACGUAGGGAGCAAGCGUUGUCCGGAAUCAUUGGGCGUAAAGCGCGCGUAGGCGGCCCGAUAAGUCCGCUGUAAAAGUCAACGGCUCAACUGUUGAAAGCCGGUGGAUACUGUCGGGCUAGAGUACGGAAGAGGCAAGUGGAAUUCCUGGUGUAGCGGUGAAAUGCGCAGAUAUCAGGAAGAACACCCGUGGCGAAGGCGGUUCUCUGGGACGGUACUGACGCUGAGACGCGAAAGCGUGGGGAGCGAACAGG